CUUUCACUUUUACCCAAAAUGACUGAAAAGGGCAAAAAUAUUUUAGAUCUAAUUUUUUCUGAUUUUUUUCUUCACCGUUUCUUAUCACCUUUACAGGGUUUCCAAUAAGAAAGUAACACAAUUUAAGUAUUAAAUUGAAACCUUUCUUCAACCAGAUUUUAAUAGAAACCAGCUCUUCAAUUCAUCGAAACAUAUUUUUGAUUUUGGUCGCGAGAGAAGUCCAGUUAAUAAGUGAUAUUUUGUAUUGUGAACCUUAUUUUUUAAUUUUUGUGCUUUCUGGUAAUGGUUCGAUUUACUGUUCAAAGGACUGUUUUUGUGAAGUCAUUGAGAUGGCAAUAAAUUAUGAAUCGGCGACAUUACCAUAAGACGUUUUUCCGUUUCCUUGUCUUCUAAUUACAAUUUCCCGGUUCCUCUUCAUUUUAAUCAACUAUCAAUAUGUUGGCUAUUUGCUGUCAAUUGGAAGAUAUUGACGAUUCGGUCAAAAUCGGCUUUGAAAUACUCAUCACAUUCACCGUCUUAUCCAUCAAUCUCAACAAAAUCGCCAGGCUUUUAGUGUGUGUAUUUGCUGAUUUACCAUGUACUUGACCAUUGUUAUCAUGGCUAUUUUGAUUAGAUUAGGAUGGUCAUUUAACUUUAAAAUCAUCAUUUAUUUUGUUUGAUUUUCUACAGCUUUCAAUAACAUUGGUUUGAGAGGUGAGUUGGAAACGGAAAACAAUUGAACAUGAUUUUUGAAUAUCUGCUGAAAUGGCGCUGUUGGUGUAAAAGUGGAACAAAACAAGAUUCUGAAGGACAUUAGAUACUCUGUUGAUUACCUUUCAUUUUAAUUACACUGUUUUAACGUGCAGUUGAUCAACAAUCAACUUAGGCUUUUUACUGGUUGAGUACUUGUCUAUGAAUCACACAAUGACAAAAAGAUGAAAGAGUAAGUUGAAAACAAAAUAAGAUGAUCAGCAAACUAACGAUAGUUUACUAAUUGAUUUUUAAUCAAACAGCUUACACACAAAUGAUAAAAUUAUGAACCUUGAGAAUCAACUUAAAUUGUCAUUAAAACAUUUGUACAAUUGUGUAAUUUUGUAAUUAAUUUACACUCGUAAAUAUCUCUAUCCUUUCAUUUUCUGGUUGCUUUUCUGGUUUCUGGUUUUCAACCAUUUCAUUUGAUUGUUGUUUUUUCAUUGUUUUUCAUUUCUUUGAUCAUCAUCUUGUACAGUCAAUGCAUCAUCGCAUUGACAUGCAAGGUUAAUUGUGUGUAAUGGACUUAAUUAUUGUGAAAAUGAUGAUUAUAAUUGAAGUCAAGAAAACCAGAAAAUCAGAAAAUCAGAAAAGGUGAAAAACUUCGAAGCCAAUAUCUCAAUGAGAACUUGAAUUUCAAUUGUGUUUCCAUGUUGACUUUAAAUGACUUCAAUUUUGAUUCAGUUUGAUGAUUGAGCUGCUAGAGCAAAAUUAAACAGUAAAACGAUUAAAUAUUUACUAAAUAAAAAGACAAUUGUAACCAAAUCAGCAAAUUUAAUGAUUACAUUAACAUUGAUCUCUUCCAUAUGAAUCUGUAUUUGAAUAACAAACGUUUCAUUAACUUAUUUUUUGCUUCGACCCAAUUUGUAUUGUUAAUGUAGUGAAUAAAUUACCUGAAUAAGGUUGCGCUUUAAAUUUGUAAAUCAACAAUCAACAGAUUGAAAGCUCAUGAUGAGCUGUUGAUUACAAUCUAAUUAUCUACUGUUAUUCACCAAUUCAAAGUGUCUACCUAAACUGACCAACAAUCAAAAAAGGUUGAAAGCUGAAAAAGGCAAACAAAGAUCAAAGUAAACUGUAAAAACCAGAAAAGUCAACCAAGCAAAAUUUCCGGUCACAUUGAUGACCAGAAUUGGUUUAGUGGCUAUUUUUCAAAUAACCGUGUCCAUGAACUUGGUUAACCUAAUAAUAAUUAGACUGAAGAAGAGUCCACUAUAAUAAUACAAAAAAUGGUCAUUUGAUGGAUUCGUUACAAUUGGAUUGUGGUUUCUUCCCAACAAGAGUCACCAUUUGUAUCAUUGUUUCAACAUUGAAUAACCUUUUGCCUGAUGAUUAUGAUUAUUUUUAUUGUUGUUGUUUCUGUAAUGUUAAUUUUAUACAAUCAGAUGGUCGGCAGAUAAUAAAAUGAAACAUUUGUUUUCAUGGAAACCUUGAUUGAAUUAUUUUGGUUUCGGUCUUUUGAUCAACUUUCACUUGAUUACCUUCAAAUUUUUAGUAGCUUGUAAGAUUGUUCAAGUGUAGGUUUAAUGUAAUGGGAAAUCGCCCAACAUUGCCUUGUUAAUAUUAACUUUAAUCGUUUCUCAUCAACAUCAUCAUCAACCUGAUCACCAUCAUCAUCUUCAUCUUAAUUUCUCUAUGUUUUUAAAUCAUCUCAUUAACCAUUUUCACUUCACGUGUCAAUGAUAUAAACUGUUCAAGAGAGGAACCAAACCUACGCAAGUAAAAAGCUAAUAUUUUUGGUUGCUCUUGGAUAUUUUAAAAGGUUUAUUAGAGUGACUUUUGACACUAACCAAUCAACAUGUAAAAUUUACCAGAAAAUCAAUCAAAAAAUCAACACUGUUAUUAUUAAAGCAAGAUAAAUUAACUGCAAUUAAAUUCAUGUCUUUUUCAAACUACAAGUUUGAAACAUUUUGCACUUUCAUGAUGGAGUAAACAAACUGUUUCACUUUUGAUAUUUGCUCAUCCAAAGAUGUUUCACUCUUAAAUACAUAAUUAAUCAAUCACUCAAUUAGGUUGAGAUGUAAUUGCGAAAUGAAAUUUCCUGUGAAUUUGUAGAAAUUUUGAAAUUUUGAGAAAUAUCAUGAACAAUCGCAAUGCGAGUAAAUGAAAACAAUGACUUCAAUUUUGUUAUGGAAAUUUUUCUUCUCAAACUGAAAUGAUUGUAACCAAUUGUAACAAUACAAGACAAGCUUUAUUAAACACUUUUUUCAUGAUAUUAUCCUCAACCCAAACCUAGCAUGUCAAGCACGUCCUUUAAAUUGUCCAUUACUUGCGGGACUCAACACUUGAUAAUCGAGAAGUAAAUACAGAGCAAAUCCAAUGGGAAAUUGCGGUUGGACAAUGGGAUUGAGAAAAGUCCUUUAAAGGUGAUUUCCAAUCAAGGCUUAAUCAAGCCUGUUGGCAAUUAAUCAAGGAAGAAUGAUCUAGCAUAAACCUUUAAUUGAAUACAAUUUGCUUUUUAAUGUCUUCUCAUUGAUUCAAUUUGUUUUAAAAUCAAUCAAAGCCGUCAAUCAAUUUGAUAGUCGCCCAUGUUUGUGAUGCCAUCUUUUGUCUUUGUUUUCCUUCUUGUCCUUGGUUUUAUCUUUAAUUGUAAUUAUGAUAACUAUCCAUCCCGGGCUAAUUAGCUAACGUAACUGUUUAUUUGUAUUAUCAAUGUUCGGUGAACCACGAUGAUUUCAGUAGCUAUAAUUGGUGAUUUUUGAGGUUUUGAUCACUAGAUCUAUGGUUUUGCAUAUACAGUAAACCCAGACUUUUUCGAUAUUUUUGGAGGUACUCCAUCUAUUGAAAUAAUUCAUACUUUUCUUUUAGGCUGAUAGUUUUUCAUCGUCUUCUGUUUUUUUAUUGAGUCUUUUUGAUUGGUUAAAUUUAACUAAAGUUUUACUUAUAAAUGUAGAAUGAUCUUUAUUCAAAUAUCCUUAAUCAUUUUGCAUAGUGUGCUUGAACUGUAUUGAAUUCACUUAUAUCCAUGUACUAACUUUUAAUUUGUGCAAAGACACUGAGCUUUAUUCAAUUGUUAGAAAAUGUAUUACAAGGUCUCAAGAUCGUGGAUUAAUGUUUGUUGGCCUACAAGAAAUUACCAGUUCUUCAGCUAGAUCUCAAGAUAAGUUACAACAGUAGAGACAUCAACUCAAACUAGAAUUUUAUGAUAGUUCAUUUAUUUCGCUAUUGAUUACUCGCGGUGGCCCACCGCUAUGUGACAUGCCACAGCAUGAUCAAAGCUAUCAUGCAUAGCGAUGGAAUAGGGUUUAUCAACAUUCAUGGCUCCCCUAGCCUGGACAACAAUUUUUUUAAAAUGAAAUUACGAAUCCCCUUAGAAAAGCAUACAUGCAUUUUUCUAGAAAAAACGCAAUGGAUUGCCGAGAUCGAAAAUGUAGCAGCUAGUUUCAUCUAGAAGGUGGUGAUUAUCCAUCGAAUCAAGUCGAAUUCACUUUGUUAACAAAUUUGUAAAUAUUACAUUUUUUAAAUUUUGUUCACUUUUAAUAAACUCAUGAAACAUCACCUUCUGCUCUUCUUGUCCAUCGAUGAUGACGAUAAAUCUAAACUAAGAAAUGAUCCAAACACAUGAAACAUAAUAUGAAAUAAAUAAAGUAACCUUUAUUCAUAAAUGAAUUAUAAACUCAGGAACUCACUUUUUUAAGUGUGUACACGUUCUCAAUGGGUCCUUAAUCGAUAGAAGUUUGAGACACUGCACUUAUUUAUAAGAAUACUCGAAACACAGUAAGAGAUGAUCUCUUAUCACAUAAACAACAACAUAAAACUGAGUUUUUUUCAAAAAUUUAAGAUAGUUCAUCAUUCAAAUUCAAUUGGUAAAUUUCCACAAUUGCUUCUUCCGAGGCCUCAGCUGGGUGGCAGCAUAACCAGGAUUGAAUUCACAAAUAAAUUCGAUAGAUUAAGACCGAUUUUUCUUGGCUUUUCUUGAUAAUACUCUAUAUUGAUUUUUAUAUUCAUCAUAAUGAAUUUCGCUGAUUUCGAGUGAAAUCCCAAUGAAGUUGAGCUCGUCUUUGAAUUCCCCGAACUUUUCCAUAACAACUUUACACGAUCCCUACAGAACAAGAGAUUUAAAUUUUUCAAAAGUGUAUUCUGAUAUAUUAGAGGACAGGACGACAUAAUCUAUGUCUCCUGCAUAUCGCUCGAAUGUGUUAAGUUUCAAAGUAGAUAAAUUUAUCAUUUUCUUUCUUUUGCUUGAAAAGUCUUAUUGUUUGGACCAACACAGAUGAGAUUCUUUCUGAAAUCUCCGUGUGAAAAUUUUAUAUUAUAAUAAUCAACUAUUUUCCUUGCAUCUUGAUUUUCGUAAAGUCUGAACUCCUGACAUAAAUGAUCAUUGGCAAUAUAUGCAGAGUAAACUUCUAAGAAAAUAAAUAGAAUGAAAAUAAUAUAAUAAUAUGCAAUCUUACAUGGUUUGAUUUCAUCAUUUGGUUGUCUAUCAUGUCUAUACCAAAGAAUAACUGCUCGACAGAAUUUGGAUAUGCGUUCGGCAACGAUGGGUUGAUUAUCGACAACAGAGCUAUCACGAUAAAUGGGUAAAAAUUUUACAACAAUGCUUGCAAGUUGGAAUUUGAAAAUCUUAAUUCAUCUGCUUUUACAUUGAUUUCAUCUCCAUGGAACAUGUCUUUAAUGGCCACAAAAACUGAGAAAGAAACGGUGUCGAGGAUUAAACCCCUUUUGACCUCAGCGCCAGAGGUGAGUAGUGGGGCGAACAAUGUCGCGACAGAGGAAAAUAGAUUUUUAUCCAUCUCAAACCAUCCUCCCAAGUGAUGGGCGACGAUAACAUUGGCAUCACUUUCAGAUUCAAGAUGCACUGACAUAGUGCGUAGAAAUACUUGUCGGACAAUAUUUUUGAAAGAACAAUAAAAACAAUUAAAAAUCAAAUAUGAACAAAAUUAUGAAUUUGAUGGAAAUAUUUGAAAAAAUAAGACUUCAACUGGAAAUAAAUCUUUAGAGAAAAAGAAGAAUGGAAAGCGAACAAAACUAGUUAUCUAUUCAAACUCUAAAUUGAAAUGAACAGCUUGAUUGGAUUUUCGGCAUAAAUCAUUGGUAAGCCAAAAGAUUGUGGUCAUAAUGUGGAUCUUGUCUCCUCUUAUGUCUUCAGCCCCUGUUUUAAUCGUAAUUUAUCAUCAUCAUCUGAUAAACCGUAAGCCUUAGUUAGCCGAUCUCCCCUUAUAUUACACUUGAAAAUAUCCUUUGGUAUUUAUAAUGGAAUAUCAAUCAAGAAGCGAAGUGAAGCUCGCGGUGGCCCACCGCUAUUCGACAUGCCACAGCAUGAUCAAAGCUAUCAUGCAUAGCGAUAGGGUUUAUCAACACUGAAUGCUCCCCUAACAUAGACAACGCUUCUAUCCACAGUCUUGGUUCUGUGUACAGUCUGUUCUUAAUCUUUAACAAGAUCUAAUGUGUCGAUAGCGACCAAUAAAUCUUUAUAUCGAUUUCAUACUUUAGAAUGUUCCCUUGUGAGUCUUGAACCUACAGGUUUUUUCAACACAGGCCAAGUAUUUUGAUGAGGAAGAUGAUAAUCAGUAAGAGUGAAAUACCCGAAAAGUGAAGUUCUGAAUGUACUGCAAGGCACUGUAUGAUCGGUGAUUGUGAAAAGAUCUGAGUUCACAAUGAAAAACCUUGAUAAACAGCAGCAAUCAAGCAGCGAUGAAAAUUAUCAACGAAAUGUAUGCUAAACUACACUGAAAACUCUGACAUCUGCUAUCAUUUUAUUUAACUUAUUCGUUUUUGUUUAGAUUCUCGUGGUACUUUAAAAAGCGCGCCACAUAUCCAAGGUGAGGUUUAAAAAAAAAGAUCGUUGUGUGAUUUUUUUAUUUUUUGGUUUUUACUUCUUACUUUAUUAUACCCUUGUCAACCUAACUAACAAUAAACAUCAUCAACAUCUUUAUCACCAUUAUCACCAGCACCAUCAUAACCAUCAACAGUCCAACCGCCGCCACCAGCAAAGACACUAAAGUCAAUUGUGUUCUUGUACCUUCAACAUCAAAAUGAGCUUUGGAUUGAGACUUUCGAGACUGGUGAAAAACAUGUUUAAAUCGGAAAAGGCCAGAAAAGUUGAUCUCAUGAAAGAACAAUUGCUAAACGUACCUAAACCUAAACCUAAACGACAAGUUUUUGGACUGAAGAGUAAAGGAUUGAUUCCUUGGUAUUCAAUGAGCCACGAUGAUAUGUCAACAUUAUAUGCUUUUCUUAUAUGUUUAAUUCCAAUGUAUGCUGUUUUUGAAAAUUGUUUUUGGAGUGUUUACUAUGAUUUUAAACUUAGAAAGGAAAAAAAGAAAUACAUUAAGGAAUUAGAUGAAAGAGAAAGGUUGGCCGAAUUGAUAAGUGCUAAAAAAAAGAAUCUGAAUGUGGAUUAGAAUUUUUCUGCUACUCUUGUAACUAGAUUGUUAUUAAAUUUUAAAUUGUAGGAUUAUGUACAUACAAAAUAAAAUGCAGUAAAUAAAGAGUUUAUAAUAAA